rnacentral:misc_RNA from 1 species
AUAUAUAUCAACCACUUCUUGUCGAGUGGCUUGGAUGUGGGGGGUUUGCUGGCCUUGUUGAAGGGUCAGCUCCCCUGAAAUUCAUUAGCAGAACCAACCUGUUCAAUGGUGUGAUAACUAUCUACGCUAUUUGAAAGGGUAAGGCAGUUCAGCUUCUUAACCGUCCUUUUGGACAAAUUUAUCACUU